rnacentral:rRNA from 1 species
CGGCGUGCCUAACACAUGCAAGUCGAACGGAGUCAAGAAGCUUGCUUUUGACUAGUGGCGGACGGGUGAGUAACGCGUGAGUAACCUGCCUCUGAGAGGGGAAUAACGUUCUGAAAAGAACGCUAAUACCGCAUAAUGUAUCGAAGCCGCAUGACUUUGAUACCAAAGAUUUUAUCGCUCGGAGAUGGACUCGCGUCCGAUUAGUUAGUUGGUGAGGUAACGGCUCACCAAGACCGCGAUCGGUAGCCGGACUGAGAGGUUGAUCGGCCACAUUGGGACUGAGACACGGCCCAGACUCCUACGGGAGGCAGCAGUGGGGGAUAUUGCGCAAUGGGGGCAACCCUGACGCCAGCAACGCCGCGUGAAGGAUGAAGGUUUUCGGAUUGUAAACUUCUUUUAUCAGGGACGAAGCUUGACGGUACCUGAUGAAUAAGCUCCGGCUAACUACGUGCCAGCCGCAGC